GUUCACUCGGCCAGAAAAACUCGGCUCUUUAAUGGUAGCCUACAGUACUACAAGACCUCAUCUGCCUCUCUCAGAGACCUCCCGAUUCCUCUUUGACAAUUCACAAACUGUUAAUAACACUUGCAUGUCCCAGGAGAUGUGGAGCUAUCAGGAUUUUGGGGACCCAGAAAGGGUAAAGCGAUGAUAAGAGAAGAUGCAUCCUGCACAACUUUUAUUGGGGAAGAGGUGCUUAUGAAGAGAGCUGUACCAUCAGGUGUUACUGGAGAGAAGAAGCCUCCUGUCCUAACCCAAGAAUCAUGAUGUAUAUAAAAGGGAAAACUCCUCAGUCAUGCUUCAGUGACGAUGUUGCUACUUAAGGUGGAAGAAUAAUAUUGAGAGAAAUGUCAGGCACCUGGAAGCCCACUGGAAG